UUCACUCUCCUCAGAUAAGUGUAAGAAAUGAAGUGGACGAGCUUGUGGCUCGGUUAGAAAUUGUCAAGUAUAAUGUUGUGGGAAUUACAGAGCCAUGGGUGCAAGAGGGCCAGGGCUGGGAACUGAAUAGUCAAGGGCAUACGUUCUAUUGA